rnacentral:lncRNA from 1 species
UGCCUGUGGGUCAAGAUGUGAGAACUCUCAGCUGUUUGUCCAGCACCGUGUCUACCUACUUGUCACCAUGCUUCCCACCGUGAUGAUAAUGGGCUAAACCUCUGAACUCAAGGCUGAAUUUUCCAUGAUGUGGGUAGCGGUGGCCAAGGAAGGAGGUGAGCAAUGGCCAAGGAAGGAGGUGAGCAAUGGCCAAGGAAGGAGGUGAGCGAUGUGUCCACCCAGAUUCCUGCUGAGUUGAUGGAAGCCUUUCCUGUCUGACCUGCCCUGAGGAAGGAUUGCCUGCUGAGAUGACUGUGGUGGGGUGGCUCAGCCAACUAUGAGUGCUGCUCCCCCCAGGCAGUGGUCCUGGGUUGUAUAAGAAAGCAAGCUGAGCAAGCCAAGGAGAAGAGCCAGUGAGCAGCGUCCUCCACGAUUCCUGCCUCAGCUUCUGCUUGAGUUUCUGCCCUGAUGGAGUGUGAUGGAGAUGGCAUCAGGAAAGAAGCCAAGGUGUCACAUCCUAGAGGGGCCCAGAGCCUGGGUUAGACUCUCUCCUAACUCCUUUGCUUAAAGUAGAGACUGAGACUUGAGUCUACAGUGAGAGUAAGUUGUAGGAGCCCUCCAGAAUUUGUUGUCCUCUGGUUCCUCUCCUCCAGUGAGAAAAGCCAUGCUGCAACCAUCCAGAGAAGCCUCGGCAGCUUGGGGAGGUUGCUGUAACAACUUUUGCUGGAAAAAAAAAAAAGCCAUGGAAAUCCUGGGCCUGGUUUCCCUUUGGAUUAAAAUAAAUGUUAAGUGCAAAGCCAAGGACCUGCUAUUGAUGAAAUACCUUGAAUUCCCCUUUCACAAGCAGCCACUGGGGGCGCUACUGAACAAAUCCCACUGACUUCCACUGGUUCCGAGAGGAACACCAGGAACCACACUGGAAAAAGCAAAUUACAGACAAAUGAUGAAAUCGCCACCUUGCCAAAGAUGAUAAAUAGCUUUGUUCUGACCUGGGGAGGUCACCUUUCUGGAGAUGAAGGAUGGAUACUGUCUUGUCAGUAGAGAUGAGUUCUGGAUGCAUAAGACUGCACAACACCAUCUUACACCUUAUUCUUGUGUUUGUGGGUGGGGCUCAAGUGUCUGCCACUUGUGUUCAGGUUCCUGACAAGCAGAGGGCAUCAGAUCUCCUAGAGCUGUUGUCACAGGCACUUGUGAGCUACCCGCUAUGGUGUCGGGAACCACACUUGGUCCUCUGAAGAGCAUCAAGAACAAUUAGCCCCUGAGCCAUCUCCCCAACCCCUCUUCUUUUUAACUGGUGUACAGUGUCCCCACAAUCCUGCUGUCCAGUACUGUUCUUUGCAAGAAACAAAAGGUCCCCAUUCCAACUUGUGGAAGAUGGACAGUGGAGGCUGUCUGAAGUGAUCAGAGCAGCUUCCUCUCCUUAUUUGAAUGGAUGACAUUGCCAUGUAAAUUUAAUAUGUACAAAAUUCCCUAAAGGAAGCAUCUAGAAGUUGCAAGAGGGAAUCGGUGACUCCUGGAGGAAAUGAAAUCUGCAAAUGAAACAGAGAACAAACAAAAAAGAAUGUGUCAGCAAGGACGGGCUGUGGGCAGCUUCUACCUCUAUUUACUGUUUUUGAAAUUGUGGAAAGGAUUUGGGAAAUAAGCUGGGCAUAGUGGUGCACUCCUUUAACCCCAGCACUUAGGAAAGCAAAGGAGGGUGGAUCUCUAUGAGUUUGAGGCCAGCAUGGUCUACUAUAUAACCAGUUCCUUGUUAGCCAGUUACAUAAAGAGACCCUAUCUCAAAAAAAUGGGUAAUGUUAGUUGUAUAAAAUUACAGAGGUACAUACUGUGAUAAAGUUGAAAAUGAGUUUGGGUCUAGGGAGAUGGCUCAGUGAAGUGAAUGUCUGCUGUGCACGCUGGGAGACCUGAGUUUGGACCCUGAGAACCUACAUGGAAAGCCAGCCAUGCUGGUGCUAUAACCCCAGAAGUAGAGAGACGUGGAUCCCCGAAGCUCAUUGGCUGGCCAGCCUAGCUGAACUGAUGAAGUUCAAGUUAGGUGAGAGACCUUGUCUCCAUAGGUACAGGCAGAGAAAGGUAGAGGAGAGACUCUCUCAAGUUGUCCUCUGACCUCCACAUGUUCUCUCUCUCUCUCUCUCUCUCUCUCUCUCUCUCUCUCUCUCUCUCUCUCUCUCUCUCUCACACACACAC